GAGGCCCAGGCGGCAGCGGCGGCGGCGGCGGCGGCGGCGGCGGCAGCGGCAGCGGCGGCUCC
rnacentral:miRNA from 1 species